rnacentral:rRNA from 1 species
AUAUUAAAUGGCUGCAGUAUUUUGACUGUACAAAGGUAGCAUAAUCACUUGUCUUUUAAUUGAAGGCUGGAAUGAAUGGUUGGAUGAGAAAUAAUCUUUCUUUAUUUUAUAUAAAAAAUUUAAUUUUUUAGUUAAAAAGCUAAAAUUUUGUUAUAGGACGAGAAGACCCUAUAGAACUUUACUUUUUUUAUAUUUAAAACUUUUAUUUUUUUAAAGUCUUAUAUAUAUUAUAAGUUUUGUUGGGGUGAUGGAAAAAAUAUUUUAACUUUUUCUAUUUUUUACAUUUAUUUAUGUUUUUUUGAUCCUUUAUUAUGGAAAUAAGAUUAAGUUACCUUAGGGAUAACAGCGUUAUUUUUUCGGAUAGUUCAUAUUGAUGAAAGAGUUUGCGACCUCGAUGUUGGAUUAAAAUAAGUUACAGGGGCAUAAUAU